rnacentral:rRNA from 1 species
GACGAACGCUGGCGGCGUGCUUAACACAUGCAAGUCGAACGGAAAGGCCCUGCUCUUGUUGGGUGCUCGAGUGGCGAACGGGUGAGUAACACGUGAGUAACCUGCCCUUGACUUUGGGAUAACUUCAGGAAACUGGGGCUAAUACCGGAUAGGAGCUCCUGCUGCAUGGUGGGGGAUGGAAAGUUUCGGCGGUUGGGGAUGGACUCGCGGCUUAUCAGCUUGUUGGUGGGGUAGUGGCUUACCAAGGCUUUGACGGGUAGCCGGCCUGAGAGGGUGACCGGCCACAUUAGGACUGCGAUACGGAGCAGACUCCUACGGGAGGCAGCAGUGGGGAAUAUUGCAGAAUGGGCGGAAGCCUGAUGCAGCAACGCCGCGUGCGGGAUGACGGCCUUCGGGUUGUAAACCGCUUUCGCCUGUGACGAAGCGUGAGUGACGGUAAUGGGUAAAGAAGCACCGGCUAACUACGUG